UUGGGAAACCUGCCUGAGGAAGAGAAGUCACAUAGAAGAAUUUAAGGCUAGGACCCAGAGGAAGGGGUUGCCAGCUCAGAAUGACCUGACAAGGAAAGGCGGACAAGGACACUUCGCAUGGAAAAGAGUUGAAGUUCUAAACAUGUGCUUCUGGGUGCAUUAUUCUACAACGAGAUUUUUAAAGUUCCUCCAGGACUUCUGGGAGAAGCUGCCUUUCUGUUUACCAAGCAUUCCUAGGGCACAGUAUUGAGAUUUAUGAAAAGAAGAUAGGACUUGUAAUCCCAAGAUGCAGAAUCGUUAAGAGCAGUGAAGAAGCACAGGCAGAUCUACACAGUGAAGACGCACCAUCCCAACAGCGUGCACAGAGGCUCUGUGCUCCCAUGUCGUCACAGCCUGCAGGAGAAGAGAAAUGACUGCCUGCCGGACGGUGAAGGGCAGUCUCUUCCAGAAUAUUCUGAUAUGCCUCCCAAGAAAAGGCACUCAGGCAAACCGGGGCUUCUAAAAGCCGGAGUGCCCACUUAUUUUUCCAAUGCCUGACUUUAGAUUUCUCCAAAGGAAAUAACAUAUUUACUAAACUACCUCUAAAUGUGUACCCAGGAAACAGACCACCCUAAAGACCUGUCUGGAGAAACAGCAAGCUCCAGGUGAGUGGAGGAGGUGAUCUGGCUUCCAGCUACAUACAAUUUACCCUUGGGUUGCAUUAACGGAGCUCAUUAUCUGAAGCCAAAAGGUGACAGUUCUCUUUGAAACGGUCAUCAAGCAUCUAAAGAGCUGUGCUCAGUUCC